rfam:Cellulomonas cellasea DSM 20118 contig147, whole genome shotgun sequence.
UUCUGACACUCUUCACUACGGAUCGUCCGGCACGUACCUGCCGGUGAAGGGAACACACC